UGGGGAAUAUUGCACAAUGGGCGCAAGCCUGAUGCAGCCAUGCCGCGUGUGUGAAGAAGGCCUUCGGGUUGUAAAGCACUUUCAGCGAGGAGGAAGGUGGUGAGCUUAAUACGCUCAUCAAUUGACGUUACUCGCAGAAGAAGCACCGGCUAACUCCGUGCCAGCAGCCGCGGUAAUACGGAGGGUGCAAGCGUUAAUCGGAAUUACUGGGCGUAAAGCGCACGCAGGCGGUUUGUUAAGUCAGAUGUGAAAUCCCCGGGCUCAACCUGGGAACUGCAUUUGAAACUGGCAAGCUAGAGUCUCGUAGAGGGGGGUAGAAUUCCAGGUGUAGCGGUGAAAUGCGUAGAGAUCUGGAGGAAUACCGGUGGCGAAGGCGGCCCCCCUGGACGAAGACCGACGCUCAGGUGCGAAAGCGUGGGGCAGCAAACAGGAUUAGAUACCCUGGUAGUCCACGCUGUAAACGAUGUCGAUUUGGAGGUUGUGCCCUUGAGGCGUGGCUUCCGGAGCUAACGCGUUAAAUCGACCGCCUGGGGAGUACGGCCGCAAGGUUAAAACUUAAAUGAAUUGAC
rnacentral:rRNA from 1 species